AAGUCGGUGCGGCCGGCUCGCGCCAGGUGGGCUCCACGUCUCCAGCGCUGGCUCCCGGGAGCCCAGGCUAGGCGCGCGCCCCGCCGGCGCAGACGGACGUGCCGGACGCUCCGUAGUACAUUCCUGAAGGAGGUCCGGCCCCCUUACGUUGCCCAAUGCCUGCGCGGCCUCCCCACAGCCCGCCAAUCGCUGAGCGCACGGGUCCCUUCCCAUUCAGCGGCCCCGGCCCGAAAGGGACUACAGCCCGGCGCGCCGGCCACCCGGGCGGCCCACGCGGCUCCCGCGGGGGGCCUCUCCGCCAGCCCUCCCAGCCGCCUUACUUCCUCUUCGGCGGCUUCUCUCCCCCCUCCCCCCUUCUUUCAAUCUUCCCUUUCCUUUCUUCUUCCUCUUUCACCCUGUUCUUUUCCCCCAUCUCUCUCCUCCCAACCCAGCCUCACCACCGAACCUCUGGCUUUUUCUCCUUCCUGGUUUCACGGAGAGGCCCUACCCUGUGAAUCCCAGAGCAGCCAAACGUGUGCAGUACCCUGAGCAGGGGAGGAUGUCCUGUAGAAGAGAGAGAGACCUAGAGUAGCAGCGCCCGGGGGUGUGCAGGGGAUCAGGAGGAGGACCAGAGUACCCGGCCAGCGCGGAAAUUCAAAACUCAAAACUCCGGAGGAGCACGUGAUUUUUGUGAGCGGCUCUGGGAAGGGCUGCGAAAAUCCUGAAGGGAAGACAAGCCGCGUGCAAUUCCAAUGACAGCAGCUGCAUAUCCUCUCAGUUCUGGCUGCUGCUACAUGUGCACCAUUUCAAUGUCAAAUAGCCAUGGCCACACCACGCACAUCUCAAAAAUGGCAUCCGAUUAUCCAAAUGAUGACACUGAAAUAAAACAUCUGCCAUUUGUGUUUGGACAGUCCAAUGAUAAGCACUUUGGGGAGCUGCACUUGGCAGAGGAAUGAGAAACCACGAUGGAACUUGACUGUUCACUGGUUUCACAGAUCCAACUAAUUGGGUCUUUAAAAUCAAAGAUCUUCUGAACCACAUUACUUUAAGAGAGAUGUAUCCUGGAAAGAUUCAGACUGUGAACAUUUCCCCCUCCAUCUCUCCCCUCAUCUCUGUCUACCCACAUAACAUAUCCAUAUCAAGCUCUGCAUUUGGCAGAAGGCACAUCAUUCAUUUCAGUGAUCUCUGCCAUCGGGUCUUGCAUGAAAAAGAAGCUGAGCAACAUGAUCCCUUUGACCCACUGCUGGAGCAACAAAUUUAUUAGAGAUAUAGGCAUGAGAAAUGAAAGGGAAGUAAAACAAUUCCAGCUUAUUGUGUGUCUUUCUUUCAUACUGCUAAUCCGGUUUACACAUCACGCCUACACGUCUCAAUAGGGCUUUAUACACUGUGGCAGAGGCGGGAGAAAAUAAAAGGUGUGUGUGUGUGUGUGUGUGUGUGUGUGUGUGUGUGUGUGUGUGGUGGGGGGGCAUAAAAUAGGGAAGACAGAUAUUUUAAUCCGUUCAGUCCAUAUUGAUUUGCCUCAUCAGUUUCUCUAUCUGUAGAAAGUUGAAGACAACUUGUAAAAGAAAAAGCUCCCCCCCCCAACAAAAUAACUCCAAAUGGUGCUAACUCCUAUCCAAAUAGCUUGUUACAUUAUGAUUAGAUUAUAAUCAGAAAUUCGAUACAUUUCUCAGUGAGUCUGAAAUGAAGCUAAUACCCCAAAUGGAGAAUGGACCCAUUGGUCUCUACUUUGAUUCAACAUUUUAAUAUAAAAAGAUCUUGGACUCAAAGGGCGUUCUACAGCCUUGUGGAAGGAAGGAAGCUGGGUGACAACUGGAACACACACAAACUCACAAUUGAAAGCCCUUGUUUUACAACAUGGGUACACAAUGCACCUGAGGCAACAAUUUAACCUGAGGUACCACCCAGGAAGAAUAAGUUACAGUAACAAAGGCACCAAAAAGCAUUGUCUUUCUUUGUGGAGGCAAUUAAUUGAAUGUUGAACUAGUGGAGGCAAAAAAAAAAAAAAAAAAAAA